UGAAUUUGCACAUAAAAAUUUGUGUUGUAAUGUUUAAAGAUGUAAAUUUUGUGCUUCCUAAAUUUGAACUUAUUUAAACGACUAGAUCUUAGAAUAUGAAUUUUCAAGUUUUCAGUUUGGUUUUGACUUUUAAAAGCAUCUGUUAAGGAUUAGGUGAUAUUAGACGAUUGGUAACAAAUUUGUAGCUAAAAAUUUGUCUCAUAAUGUUUAAAGGUAUAAGUUCUAUACUCUUAAAUUUUGAGCUUGGUGACUCUUCAUAUCCUUAUAUUGAAUGGGAUCGCAAAAUGAUUUGCAGUUAAGAGUUUACUUGUAGAAAUGACUUUUAUGAAGAAGUAAAUAUGGCAUAAGAAAUCACUAUAUGUGGUGGUUAUGAAUCUUACUUUAGUCAUGGGAAAGACAACCAAAGGAGUAAAAGAGGUAGAAUAACUCAUAUAUGAAUAUCAAG
rnacentral:lncRNA from 1 species